CGCAACGUAGCUCCUGAGCCCAAGUGCGUGUAUGUGAUGUGUUUCAGACAGGAAGUGGUCUGAAGUAGCGCCACGUGGCGUUCAGAAGUUGGAGCUGACGGGCAGGAAAAGCGUACCCGUGAGGGCGGGGUCCGAGGCUAACCUGGUGUCGGCAAGCAAUAAGAAUAAACGCUCCUCCUUCAGACAAUCGCUCACCAUGUGCGGCGAGCGGGCGCAGGCCAGUCUGCUGAACCCUCUCCUGCGUCGCACGGCAUCUGUGAAGACCUCGCUGAGACGAGCCCCAUCCACACUCUUCAUCGAGCAUGGGAAGGUUUUCCAGAGGAGGAAGGAAUGGGAGACCAAAGCUGCUGCCUGAAGGCAACGCAACCGUGUGACGAAGUGACCGCGCACCAUGCGACCACGUGGCCAAGUGAUGUGACAAUGUGACUUCCCGAUGGGUAUUAUCUUUUCGGUCACGACUGUGACACCGACGCCUUUAACUUAUUUUUUGUUUUCUACACAAGGUAACAGACUUGAAUGGUUUCAUACGCAUCACUUUUUUGUUUAUGAAAUAUUUUUUUCUUUCUUUUUGAAUCUAAAUUUCAUCUUAGAGUAACAGUUGGAGGAAUAUAAAGUUUAUUGUUUUCAUCGAUCACAUCACAUUCAAUCAUCCACAUGAGCAACAACAGCAUUACAUCUCUGAAAUUGCCUUAUAAUAGAUGAAAUUGAUAAGAAUAAAUGCCAAUGAGCUAAGAGCA